rnacentral:lncRNA from 1 species
CUGGAGCCUAACUUACUACAACCUUUAAUUAACAUUUUUCCUUUUCAUUUAGCUUCGAUGAGAAAUGAAGUGAAUCACAAGAAAGUAAUUUGACAUGAGGGAUUUAUCUUUGAACCAACCAGUUCCAAGGCGUAACCAGGUUUGCAUUCCACCACUGAAGCAGUUAUUGUAG